UAUGACACAUUCGGAAAUCUGUUAAGCCUCCAUUUGUCGAUCGUGACCCACGUAGUUUUAUCCUUUAGGUGGAGCUGCUAUGUCUUUAUUAAUGCUACGAUGAUUCUAGCAGCUAGAUUGCUUAUAUUCUGGGGCUAUACUAUGAGCAAAAGAGGAUUUUCCUAAAGGGCAUCGACGAACUCAUUUUGAAUUCGAGGGACAUGUUUGAACUCAAUCUUUGUGAACCUUUUACUGAGCUUCUUAACACAUUGCACAUGAGGAAGGAUUUUGACAUUCUCGGUGGUCCAUUCUCCUUGCACCUGAUAGAUCAACAAAUAUGAAUCUCCUAUCACCAAGAACUCUUUGAUAUUCAUGUUUACUGCCAUCCUUAGUUCGAGAAUGCAAGCUUCAUAUUCUGCCAUGUAGUUCGUACAAGGAAACUUAAUCUUAGCCGAGAUCAUAUAAUAUUGACCUAUUUCUAAAUCUAGGGCUGCUGUAAUUUUGACUCCUUUGAAGUUUGACUCUCCAUCAAAGAACAUUCUUCAUCCAUUAUAUGUCUCUGAGAUGUCUUCUACUGUAAAAAACACCUCUUUAUUAGGAAAGUAGGUCUUAGGUGGCUUGUAAUCUUGAUACACUAGAUUUUCUGUGA